CCCUGGUGGGCUCAGACGGUAGAGGAUCUGCCUGAAACGCAGGAGACCCGGGUUUGAUCCCUGGGUCAGGAA
rnacentral:tRNA from 1 species